AGGACGAACGCUGGCGGCGUGCUUAACACAUGCAAGUGGAGCGACGAACCAGGGCUUGCCCUGGGGCAGAGCCGCGAACGGGUGAGUAACACGUGGGUUACCUGCCUCGAUGACCGGGACAACCCGAGGAAACUCGGGCUAAUACCGGAUGUGCCCGCAAGGGGAAAGGAAGCUUCGGCCUCCGCAUCGAGAUGGGCCCGCGGCCCAUUAGCUUGUUGGUGAGGUAACGGCUCACCAAGGCUUCGAUGGGUAGCUGGUCUGAGAGGACGAUCAGCCACACUGGGACUGAGAUACGGCCCAGACUCCUACGGGAGGCAGCAGUGGGGAAUCUUGCGCAAUGCGCGAAAGCGUGACGCAGCAACGCCGCGUGGGGGAAGAAGGCUUUCGGGUUGUAAACCCCUUUCAGUUGGGACGAAGCUUCGUCGGUGAAUAGCCGGCCGGAGUGACGGUACCUUCACAAGAAGCACCGGCUAACUACGUGCCAGCAGCCGCGGU
rnacentral:rRNA from 1 species